UGCCAGCCGCCGCGGUAAUACGGAGGGUGCAAGCGUUAUCCGGAAUCAUUGGGUUUAAAGGGUCCGCAGGCGGACGUAUAAGUCAGUGGUGAAAUCCUGCAGCUUAACUGCAGAACUGCCAUUGAUACUGUACGUCUUGAAUUCGGUCGAAGUGGGCGGAAUGUGUAGUGUAGCAGUGAAAUUCGUAGAUAUUAAGAGGAACACCAGUGGCGAAGGCGACUAUCUGGGGCAGUAUUGACGCUAAGGUGCGAAAGCGUGGGGAGCAAACAGGAUUAGAUA
rnacentral:rRNA from 1 species